rnacentral:rRNA from 1 species
AAUAACUAUAAACACAUUAAAUUCUUUUUCGCGAAAAAGUACGAGCUAAUAAAUUUAACUUUUUAGUGUAUAGAUUAUAUGUUGCAAAAUAUAACUUAUAGAUUUUUUUAGGGGUGAUAGGCCUAUCAAGUACUUGGAUAUCUUGAUUUAUAAUAAAUAUAUUAAGUAUUACGACAAUUUAAAAACUAUAAGGUUUUUAAAAUAUACUAUUUGUAUUUUGUGGACAGCAAAAGACUUAACAGUUAUUGUGUAAACUUGAAAAUAAUUCAGUAUUAUUUAUAUGUAUAGAUAAUUAUAACAUAUUGAUUAACUUAUAAUUAAAUAGAUAAUGUUAUUAUUAGUAUGUAAUUAACUUUAGUUAAGGAACUCGGCAAGAAAUCUCACUCAACUGUUUAUCAAAAACAUUGCCCUUAGUUAUUCUUAAGGGUUAACCCUGCUCCAUGGACUUCUAAAUAGCCGCAGUACUCUGACUGUGCAAAGGUAGCAUAAUCAUUUGUUUCAUAAUUGGAAUCUAGUAUGAACGGGAAUAUGGGUGAGUUCUGUCUCGCUAUAAUAAAAUGAAAUUAAUUAAUAAGUGAAAAUACUUAUAUAUAUAAAAAAGACGAGAAGACCCUAGAAAUUUUAUAUAUAUGUAUUAAUUGCAAUCUAUUUUGUUGGGGCGACAUGAUAACAUAAAACUUAUCUAAGUAAAUCUAAACUAUUUUUAAAUAAUAAUAAAAUUACUCUAGGGAUAACAGCAUAAUGUAUAGUAAGUUUGUGACCUCGAUGUUGGACUAGGAUAGCUACCACUUAAAAGGCGGUAGUGAAGGCUCUGUUCGAGCUUUUAACUCCUACAUGAUCUGAGUUCAGACCGG